rnacentral:rRNA from 1 species
UCGCUCCUACCGAUUGAGUGGUUCGGUGAACUUUUUGGACUGAACACCUUUAAGGUGUACGGGAAGUUAAUUAAACCAUAUCACUUAGAGGAAGGAA